rnacentral:lncRNA from 10 species
AAAGGGAACAAGAACUCUUUGGAGAAGCUGCUGAUUUUAUGACUGGACAGAAAUUAUGCAAGGAUUGGAAAAAGCUACUUUAAAUUUCAUAUGGAAUCAAAUAAUGGGAUGAGGCAGAACUCCACCCUCCUCAAGUGUUGACUGCACAUAUUGACUUUCUUCUAAAGACUAUAGUAGUUUAUAGACAAGGCUCAAGAGAGAAGCAGGGUUCUGAGCAAGGUUUUGAUGCACACAUAGAAAUAUAUUGGAAGAGCAAGGACAAG